GACUCCAUGGUGUAAUGGUUAACACACCUGACACAAUUAAAGCUGUCCGCACAUAAGCAUGCAUUCGGGAGGUCCCUGUUCGAUUCGGGGUGGGGUUA